GUUGUUAAACCGUUAAGUGUUCAGAGCAAUAAGCCGUUACUGUGCUGUAUUAUAUUUGAGUAAUAUGUUUACGUAAUACAGCAAUAUCGAUAUGUUAGUUUGUACCGAACGCCUCUUGCAACGUUCGACAAAUGAUUGGAGAGCUAAACAUUAAAUCGAGUCCUCCCAAAUGCUUCUAAUCUGGCUGCUCGUCAUCCCAUCAGUGGCCACCUUCGUGUGCAAAGGUGCCUGCGAACGCUGUGCGAAGGACACGAACCACGGUUCCGCCUCCUGUGCUCUGUGCAGGGAUUGCAAGAGGUUCGAAAAUCGUCGCAUGAUGGAUUUCACCCAAAGGAUACCAACUCUAAGCGACCAGCAGAAGGAAGAUUUGAAAGAAUUGGAGAAAUCAGAGUUCAAAAAAAUUAUGCAGGAGUACGGAUUGCAGCCAGAGGAUUUGGUAGAUACUGA